AACGUAGGUCCCGAGCGUUAUCCGGAUUUACUGGGCGUAAAGCGCGUUCAGGCGGUGGGCUAAGUCAGGCAUGAAAUCUCACGGCUCAACCGAGAGAGGCUGUCUGAGACUGGCACACUUGAGGGCAGUCGAGGGUGGUGGAAUUCCGGGUGUAGUGGUGAAAUGCGUAGAGAUCCGGAGGAACACCAGUGGCGAAAGCGGCCACCUGGGCUGUACCUGACGCUGACACGCGAAAGCUAGGGGAGCGAACGGGAUUAGAAACCCCGGUAGUCCUAGCCGUAAACGAUGUUGACCAGGUGUCGGCGGUCUAAACCCCGUCGGUGCCGGCGCUAACGCACGAAGUCAACCGCCUGGGGACUACGGCCGCAAGGUUAAA
rnacentral:rRNA from 1 species